UUUCCUCUUUAGAGUGCAAGCUUGUUGUAGCGUGAACGCUACCUUCGCGUGCAUUUGUCGCCAUGGCAACGCACUUGGACUAUGUCAGGAAAUGUAUGUUUUACUUAAUUACUUAACCCACUAAUGCAUAAAAAUGUUGUUUAUGACACAGUACAUUCUCAACUUUAAAAAUAAGUUUCGACAUCGAGUUUACGUUAUAUGCUAUUGUAAUGAGUAUAUUAACGCUAUAAGUGCAUGUUAUGAAAUAUGACAACAUAGGAGCUUAUUUCGCAAAACAUGCGCAUAAAAAAGGACAGACUACCGAGAGACGGUGGACAUGGACUAACACGGCACAGCAUAACGCGGCAAUCUACCCGCUGGUGGCUGAGACUUGACAAGAGUGAUGUCGGUCGCCAACAAAUCGGCUGUUAGAGCCGGCUCGCGUAGCCGUUAGCCAAUUGGCAGUCUUUUGUUUUUUUCCUUGUCUUUAUAGUGAGCCGAGCGACAGAACCGGCUCUCAAAAAAGAGCUGACAUUUCCAUCACUACUUGACAAUGGCCAUAAGCACAGUGAAGCCUCUGUGUGUCUACAAUCGGGUACAAUAAUGUUGUUUAACAUUCACGUUCUAGCUGUUAUGAACGACUAUGAAGUUGUGUGUCAGAUCGGAGAGGGCGCCUUCGGGAAAGCCUUCUUGGUGCGACCUAAAGGUGUAGCAGACGCACAAUGUGUAGUGAAACAGAUCAAUCUCACCAAGAUGUCCUCCAGGGAGAAGGAAACCGCCAAGAAGGAGGUGGCCCUCUUGUCCAGCAUGGAACACUCCAACAUUGUCUCCUUCUUGCGCUCCUUCCAAGAAAACGGCAGUGUGUACAUUGUGAUGGAGUACUGUGAUGGAGGAGACCUGAUGAUGAAGAUCAACACUCAGAGAGGAGUCUUCUUCGCUGAACAACAGGUCCUGGACUGGUUCGUUCAGAUCUGCCUUGGCCUUAAACACAUCCAUGACAGGAAGAUCCUGCACAGAGACAUUAAAAGUCAGAACAUCUUCCUCACUGAGCAAGGGAAGAAAGUCAAGCUGGGUGACUUUGGCAUUGCCAGGAUGUUGAAUAACACCAUGGAGCUGGCAAGGACUUGUGUUGGGACCCCACACUACCUCUCUCCUGAGAUCUGUGAGAGUCGACCUUACAACAACAAAACGGACAUCUGGUCUCUGGGCUGCGUCCUCUACGAGCUCUGCACUCUGAGGCAUCCUUUCGAGGGCAGCAGCCUGCGUCAGCUGGUCAGUAAGAUCUGCAGGGGGCGCUACAACCCAGUGGCCAGUCGAUACUCCUAUGACCUUCGCCUGCUCAUCACUCAGCUUUUCAAGGUGAACCCUCGCGAUCGUCCCUCAGUCACGUCCAUCCUUCAGCAUCCUUUCCUGCAGAGACACGUGCACGCUCAAAUGGACGCUCAGGUUGACCUUUAUUUGCAUUUUAUAUUUACCUUCACUUUUUAUUGUGCUAUUUUACAUGUUCUGUAUGCAAAGUCAAUGUGCGUGUGUGUGAGAGAGCAGGACAUCAGUCGCAAUCACAAGGCACCAACGACGACGGCCUGUAGACCACCACCAGACAGGAAGAAGUGCAGAGCUGCUGUGAGGAAACUUCCUGUCAAACCAGCAUGGAGAGGCUGCGCUCCUGCUAACUACGCUGUAAUAACACACACGCCCCCCCCCCUCAGAGCAGCUGGAGACGCCACAUGUCAUCAGAACCAAAAGCAGUACCAGCAGUUCUUUGUCCAACUGGAUGCCUUCCAGGAGGGGGGCGCCUGUCCUCCACAUGCCCCUCCUCCACGUGAGCCCUUUGAAGACCCCCUAGCUCCUCCUGGUGAACCCUACCAGCUGGUGGCAGCAGCUCGUGAGGAGUACCUUCAGAGGCGUCAGGAGGCCAAUCAGUACAAGCUGAGAGCGCAGAAACAGCUGGGUCUGCGUCCGUGCACGGCGGAGGGGGGCCGACCGGCCGGCGGUCAGGAAGAGGAGACGCCACCGCAUGAACGCCAACAACCAGUUCAGGACAGGAAGCAAGAGGGCCAGCAGGAGUACCUGAGGCAGUUGCAUGCUAUCAGACAACAGUAUCAUCAGGACAUGAGGCAGAUGAGGCUGAGAGCCCAAGCUGAGCGUGCCGAUCAGCCACAGCACCAACAUGACACUUUUGUGAUGGACAAACCCGAAGAACCAGAACACAAAGCCCAAGCAGUGCAGGACAUUGAAGCAGCUUUGAAGGACAUCGGGCAGGAGAACAGAAAGCGUAGGAAAGACCUGGAGAAAAAACACAAGGACCAGAAGGCAGUCAUGUUUGAGAUCCGCCUGGAUGGAAAGGAUGGAAUGGAGGACACCUCAGAGGAGGAGAAGGACCAACAGGAAGUGGACCAUCUCAACCAGCAAGUCUGCUUGGGGGAGCAGGAUGAGUUGAAUUUGGCUAGGAGGGGCUGGAGCCAGAGGCCUCCUGAGACACUGCUGGAGGCGCUGGUCCACAUGGACGUGCUCUCCAGCACGAUGCUGGAGGCCCAGCAAGGUGAGGGGGAUGAGGCAGGUCGUCGGCAGUGGGUCCACCGCCCCCCCGAAACCCUACUGGACGCACUAGCUCAAGCUGACCUGGCGUCCUCCGUUAGCACAGACUCUCACAGGAAGGAGGAUGAAGGUGACUCUGACGUGGAGAUGGACGAAGAGCGCCUGGAGCCCAGGUCGGAUGACGACGACACGAACUUUGAGGAGUCUGAGGACGAUCUCAGGGGGGCGGUGUCUGACUCCAUGAGGAACCUGCUUGUCACGGACGACGACGACGACGCUGAGGCAGGGGGCUCAGAGUCUCCUCACAGGAACCGGAACCAAGUGGAAGAAGCACAUGCAGAGACCACUGAUGUGGCAGUCAUGGUGGUUCCCUCCCAGCCUGAAGGAGGCCAUCCUGGAGAGUCCACUUCCACCUCCAACAGUCAGUAACAGACUCUGUUCAUUAGUGUUCAUUGUGAUCCAGCAUUCAAACCCUAAGUCAACUGAAAUGAACAUUUCUACUUGAGUGUCGUUAAAGGGAAAGCAGUAUUAGAUUUUGUCUCCUCACUGCCAACUUUAAACUCCUCACGCUGCAUGAACUGUCAAAUGUCUCUUUUGUCUUCUGCACUUGUGACUGAAGAAGACUUGAUCACUUAAAGCUGCUGACCAGACCAUCACCACCGGCUAGCUUUGAAUGUUUUUGCUAUUACAGGCCGAGCCCGGCCCUUUGAGAAAAAUUGCAUUGUGGGAAGUUGUGUUGUAGUUCUGUGCUUUAGUGUCUCUAUUCCCCCUCUUCUGUCUGCACCACCCUGCGUCCUGAUUGGCUGUAGGCCACUGUCAAUCAACCUCCUUCAUGCCGUCUCUUGAUGCGGUGAUGGUUAGCAAAUCGACCAACCAUGUGACCUGCUUGCUAGCCACCAAUCCUGUAAACAAUAGAAGACACAAAAGAGGCUACACGCGUGUUUUCCCCCGACAAAACACACAAUGUUGUGAUCCAGGAUGGUAUCAGGGUGGGAACAUACAUGGUGUGCACAAUUAUUUGGCAAGUCAGCAUUUUGAGCAUAUUGUCAUUUUUAUGCAUAUUUCCCGACCCUUCGCUGAAAAACGUGAAUGCCUACUGGGUUUAAGCAUACCAGGUGAUGCAUGUCAGUACUGAGGGAGGGUGUGGCCUUUCUUAGGUGUGCACAAUUAUCAGGCAGCUUCUUUUCCUCUGGCAAAAUGGGCCAGAAAAGAGAUUUAACAGACUCUGAAAAGUCAAGAACCGAAAAACGCCGGGACACAGCACUCAUGAAAGCGCCGAACUUGCCAAGAUAUCAGGACGUGGCCACAGAACCAUGAAAUGUUGUGUUGGAAGUACACAAAAGGGUCGCAAGAAACAUGUGGAGAGAAAAACAUGCAAAUGAACUGGCAAAUAUUUGAGAAAAAUGAAAAGUGAAGCUCCCAGGAAGCCAUUAUCCUCCAGUGCUGUCAUAUUCCACAACUGUAAUCUACCUGGGGUGUCCAGAAGUACGCUACACGGUGUUCAGCACUCAGAGACAUGGCCGAGGUAAGAAAGGCUGAACCCCCUCCACCGCUGAACAAGACACACAAGUUGAAAGACUACGACUUGGCCAAGAAAUAUCUGAAGACACAUUUUUCAAAAGUUUUAUGGACUGAUGAGAUGAGAGUGACUCUUAAUGGACCAGAGGGAGGGGCCGUGGCUGCAUCAGCAACGGGGAGAGGGUUCUACUCCAACUCAGACACCAGCAAGGUGGAGGUGGGCUACUGGUAAGGACUGGAAUGAUUAAAAGAUGAGCUUUUUGGGCCUUUUCAGCUUGAAGAUGGACUCAACUCAACUUCCAAACCUACUGCUGCUUUUUUCCCACAGUGGUACAGGAAAAAGUGUGCAUCUUUCAAGGAGACCGUGAGCUUUAUGCAGGACAACGCUCCAUCUCAUGCAUCCAAGUACUCCACUGCGUGGCUAGCUCAUAAAGCUCUUCAAAAAUGAUGACAUGACCUCCUUGCUGACCUGACCUUGACCCUGUUGAGUACUUGUGGGCCCUUAAACGUAAGAUUGACAUUGAAGAACCAAGGUCCACGUCUCUGAACAGUGUCUUGGGAGGCUUUGGUUGCUGCUGCACAAACAAUUGAUGGUGUAAUCAUCAGGAAACUGGCAGACUCCAUGGAUCGAAGGCUUUUUCUGUCUUAUUGAAAAGAAGGGUGGCUAUAUUGGCCACUGAUUUAUUUUGGGAAAUGUCAGAAAUAUUUGUAACAUUUGUGUUGUUUAUAAUUCCCACUUGAAAAAAAUGAAAAUAAAGUAGUGAGAUGGGAAUAUUUUUGUUUGCCUAAUAAUUCCUAAUAAUUGUGCACAGAUAUGAGAUAUUCUCAUCAAAAGCCAAAACCUUGCUUUCUCUUCCUGUAAAGAUUCAAGUUUAUGCACAUGAUUGACAUGAUUGAAAAAGCAGAAAAAAUAAAACGGCAUUCAUAGGGCUGAUGAGACCAGACGAUACACGAGAUUGGGCCUACGAGGACGGGAUGAGAUUUUAAUAUUGCUUUGAAGAAAAGUACAAUGAAGAAAUAUUAAAAACAUGUCAUACAAUGUAUUGCAAUCUACUCUUUUAAUUUCUACUACAUUACACUCUUCUGCACUUUGUGUGUAUGCUACCAGCCCCGCCUCCACCCACCGUCAUAAAGAGACUGUAUGACUGACAAAAGGGCUCACUCGGUUCAUGCCGUUGUUCUAUGGAACAAGCACACCAAGGUGCUGAAAGCAAUGCACAGAGUGAUCUCUCUCCCUGCCUGCCAGGAGGAAUGCGUGCAUAUGGCCAUAUAUCGAGGCUGGCAAAAUCAUCAAUUUAUUUAUUACCGUCCCGGGCCUAGUGCCCACGAGACAUUUUAAUCUUGUCACAUUUUAAUCUCUCGAGAUCUUGUGACACCCCGAGUAUUUAGGUCGGUGUAUAAUUUGGUGCCGAUGCAAAUGAGGGUUGUUGGGCUUGAUUGAGGCCUGUGUUCUUUUCUAUGUGGGUCCUGCUGUCCUUUUAGGUUUGUAUCAUUGAAGACUUCCCUGCCUUGAGGUACUUCCAGACCAUGAAGCCAUCGUUUGGAUGCUCCUGUGCGUACGUGUCAAACGUGAUGGCACGUUAGCGUAGAGGCGAAUCACCUGGAAAAAUGUACUUUUCUCCCCUUCAGUCCUUAGUGGCACAUCAGCUGCUACUGCCGUAAGGAAUAUCCAGACUGGAUACAUUUCAACAGUCUUAACAUCUGAGACUCUAGCAGGCCAUCUUGGUGGUUGCUGAGCAGCUGGCCCAUCCAUUUGGUGGCAGCUUUGGUGAUGACCAGACGGCCGGGCAGGAUGACCCCUAGACCCACUUUGUGUACCACACCGCCCCAGAAAGUGUCACCGUAGUGACGCCAUAAACAAAUGUGACGCUCACGCUGCUCUGGCGGCAAAGACCUCAGCUUGGUGAGGAACUCUUCGAGGUCUUCCAGAGCUUUCUGCAGCUUGGUGACGUCAGCUUGGGUCCUCACAAAGUCCCGAUGUUCUCCUCCCUCAUGUGACUGGUGGUGCCUCACCUCCUCGUCCUGGUUCCUGGAGCGUUCCUCAGCUUGAACCUUGCACAGGUUUUUGUACAGCUGUUUCCAGUGCUCGCACACAAUGCUGUCCAUCAGCUCCGGUUCCUUUUCAUCGAUAGCCUCUGGAUCGUGGCCAGCUUGGCCUCCAGCCCCGACUCCAGCAACCUGAUGUCGGCCUCCGGCUUGAGGCAGUACCACUCCUUCUCCUUGCAGCUGCUACCCAGGUCUGCCAGUCUCAGACCGCAGUCUGCAUUCAUCCCUCUCUCCACCAUGCAUGUGUUUUUUUUCAAUUUUAGCUCAAACAUCACUGAUGACAUCGCUGUGUCACGAUGACAUUCACCUCUGUUACACGUCGGAUUGGAUCCAAAGGGGAAGAUGUCACAGAACUAGUGUGUGAUGUCAUCAGUGAGUGUCGUCAUGCUGAGGGGCGGUGCCAGACCACUGGUGUGAAAGGUACUAGACAUUCCAGGUAUUCCAAUUAUUUACCAG